rnacentral:lncRNA from 1 species
UAUGGGUCACAUUGUGUGUGGGGCACAUCUCUGGGGCACAUCUCUGGGGCACAUGUGUGGGGCACAUGUGUGGGGCACAUCUAUGGGGCACAUCAUCUGUGGGGCACAUGUGUGGGGCACAUCUAUGGGGCACAUGUGUGGGGCACAUCAUCUCUGGGGCACAUCUCUGGGGCACAUCAUCUCUGGGGUACAUCUGUGGGGCACAUGUGUGGGGCACAUGUGUGGGGCACAUCAUCUAUGGGGCACAUGUGUGGGGCACAUCAUCUAUGGGGCACAUGUGUGGGGCACAUAUCUGUGGGGCACAUAUCUAUGGGGCACAUCUCUGGGGCACAUGUGUGGGGCACAUCUGUGGGGGACAUCUCUGGGGCACAUGUGUGGGGCACAUCUAUGGGGCACGUGUGGGGCACAUCAUCUCUGGGGCACAUGUGUGGGGCACAUGUGUGGGGUGUAUCUAUGGGGCACAUCUAUGGGGCACAUGUGUGGGGCACAUCUCUGGGGCACAUGUGUGGGGCAGAGGUGUGGGGCACAUCUAUGGGGCACAUCUAUGGGGCACAUCAUCUAUGGGGCACAUGUGUGGGGCACAUGUGUGGGGUGUAUCUAUGGGGCACAUGUGUGGGGCACAUGUGUGGGGCACAUCAUGUGUGGGGCACAUCAUGUGUGGGGCACACGUGUGGGGCACAUCAUCUCUGGGGCACAUCAUCUCUGGGGCACAUGUGUGGGGCACAUGUGUGGGGUGUAUCUAUGGGGCACAUGUGUGGGGCACAUGUGUGGGGCACAUCCAUGGGGCACAUCAUCUCUGGGGCACAUCUAUGGGGCACAUCAUCUCUGGGGCACAUCUCUGGGGCACAUGUGUGGGGCACAUCUAUGGGGCACAUGUGUGGGGCACAUCAUCUAUGGGGCACAUGUGUGGGGCACACGUGUGGGGCACAUGUGUGGGGCACAUCCAUGGGGCACAUCUUCUAUGGGGCACAUGUGUGGGGCACAUCUCUGGGGCACGUGUGUGGGGCACAUGUGUGGGGCACAUCUAUGGGACACAUCUCUGGGGCACAUCAUCUCUGGGGCACAUGUGUGGGGCACAUCAUCUGUGGGGCACACGUGUGGGGCACAUCUCUGGGGCACAUCUAUGGGGCACAUCUAUGGGGCACAUCUGUGGGGCACAUCAUCUGUGGGGCACAUCUAUGGGGCACAUCUCUGGGGCACAUUGUGUGUGGGGCACAUCUCUGGGGCACAUCUCUGGGGCACAUGUGUGGGGCACAUGUGUGGGG